rnacentral:rRNA from 1 species
CCAAUAGCGUAUAUUAAAGUUGUUGCAGUUAAAAAGCUCGUAGUUGAAUUUCGGGAUCAAUGCGUCGGUCGUGCCUUCGGUACGUACUAGCGUCAUUGAUUCCUCCCUUCUGAAGAACCGUGAUGUCAUUAAUUUGGUGUUACGGGGAAUCAGGACUGUUACCUUGAAAAAAUUAGAGUGUUUAAAGCAGGCUAACGCUUGAAUACAUUAGCAUGGAAUAAUGAAAUAGGACGUUCGAACCUAUUUUGUUGGUUUCUAGGAUCGACGUAAUGAUUAAUAGGGAUAGUUGGGGGCAGUAGUAUUCAAUUGUCAGAGGUGAAAUUCUUGGAUUUAUUGAAGACUAACUACUGCGAAAGCAUUUGCCAAGGAUGUUUUCAUUAAUCAAGAACGAAAGUUAGGGGAUCGAAGACGAUCAGAUACCGUCGUAGUCUUAACCAUAAACUAUGCCGACUAGGGAUCGGAUGGUGUUAAUUUUUUAAUGACUCAUUCGGCGCCUUACG